rnacentral:rRNA from 1 species
CCUACGGGAGGCAGCAGUGAGGAAUAUUGGUCAAUGGGCGAGAGCCUGAACCAGCCAAGUCGCGUGAGGGAGUACUGCCCUAGGGGUUGUAAACCUCUGUUGUCGGGGAGCAAAAGCCGGACGUGUCCGGCUGUGAGAGUACCCGAAGAAAAAGCAUCGGCUAACUCCGUGCCAGCAGCCGCGGUAAUAAGGAGGAUGCGAGCGGUAUACGGAUUUAUUGGGUUUAAAGGGUGCGCAGGGGGAUUUUUAAGUCAGCGGUCAAGUCGUGGGGAUCAACCCCAUCCAGCAGUUGAGACUGGGGGUCUAGAGUGUGCGUGAGGUAUGCGGAAUGCGUGGUGGAGCGGUGAAAUGCAUAGAUAUCACGCAGAACCCCGAUUGCGAAGGCAGCAUACCGGUGCACAACUGACGCUCAGGCACGAAAGCGUGGGUAUCGAACAGGAUUAGAUACCCCGGUAGUC